ensembl:snRNA U1 U1 spliceosomal RNA
CCUCUUACCUGGCGAGGGACAGACCGUGGUCAAGAAGGGAGCUCUCCCUGGUUGAGGCUAGUCCAACACACUCCAGCUGCUCUGACCCCUGCGAUUUCCCUACACGCGGGGCCCUUGUCUGCGGUGGUGUUUGCGCUACCCGGGGGCUGGGUUCGCGCAGGCUCCUG